ensembl:lncRNA novel transcript
AUGCUGUCACUGCUGAAAAAGAAAAAAAUAUCCAAAGUGCAAUGAAGAAAUUGCACACAAGAACAAGCUACGGUCUGUCCUCUAUGCUGAUGUUGGCAGCCUGCUUCUGCAGAACAUGCUUAACUGGCUAUCUGAGGACCAGAGGGGAAGACAGCCGACCCCACCACUUCUGAGACCCUAUCUUGCAGCCUUAUGAAAGGAGAAGUUAUGCUUAAUUCUUGGGGAAACAAAGGAAUGGCUACACCAGUAAGUUAGCCUUACCAUUGACUUGGGACUCUGAGAAGUGGAGAUGGGGACAACAGUAAUGGGGACAGAUGAACAAUGUCUCUUGCUUUAGGUUCAGCAGGGACUCUUGAGAAGUGGAGAUGGGGACAACAGUAAUGGGGACAGAUGAACAAUGUCUCUUGCUUUAGGUUCAGCAGUCAGAGACCCAGGCACCAAGCGAGAAGGAACUCAGCCUACUGAAAUAACUUCUUAGGUCAAUUCCUGGAUCCAGUAUUUCCUCAGUGCCAUCCAUUCUACAGUCCAGAUUAAUCCUCCCUAAAAACCUUUCCAACAUGCCACUGAAGUACUCUAAUUGGCUCCUCCUGAUAUCCUAUCAAAAUGGGCUUCUAAUUCGACCUAACUUAUUUUACAGAAGAAGCUGAG